CUUCGAGCUCUCCGUCCUCUCGCAACGCCGAGGUUGCACUCAUCAUCGUCUUCCCGAGGGCAAGCUCUACGAGUUCUCGAGCUCGACAAGACGGUACUUGGCCAUGGCGAACCUGGCCAACGGCGAGCCCGGUUCCGCGCGAUGAAGCUCGGGGGCUGACGGACUUGAGCUUCUUGAACUAGUCGAAGAAGGCUGGGGAGUGCGCUCCUUGAUAGACGACGACUCGUUCGCGAGCGUGAAGUUGGGGAAGUUGAAGCCCUCGAAGAUCGAUCUGGCCACGAACGAUUUGAUGGCAAAGUGCCGGUGGCCGGGCUUCGCGAACCUCGCUCGCGACUCGAUGAGUCGGAUGGCCUCGUCGAGGUUCCAGUUCGCCGCCUCCAUCUCGCGAGCCAUGGCUUUCCCGAAGUGCCUCACGGAUCGUAAGGCGUAGUGGAGGACUUGGACGAAGUGGGUCGGGCUUAACGACGCGAGCUUGAAGCCGUCGAACAGGGACAAGACGCUGCUCGGAGACGAACGGAACUGAAAAUCGCCCAUUACGAAAAUGAAAAAAAAGAAAAAAAGAACCUGUCGGAACCUGGAAC